GGCCCCCUCCCCACCCCGCCAGGUGCACAGCCCUCUUCCUGCCACACACACCCUCACUAACCGUACAUUAAUUGUUCAAGAGAAAAGGAGCACGUGCCUGUGAGCAGCUGAUGUGCUUCCCGGCGCGUUAGGACUUCCACGCAUGCCUCCCUCAAGGCAGCCUCGGUCCUGCCGCCUUAGACGGCCUGCCUGUCCUUUCCUCUUUCAGGAUGUUUCUGUGCAUUUCUUAAAUGCGUUCGCAGAGGCUGGUGUGUUUUGAUAUCCGGUUGGUGAUUUCCGCCUGCAGGCGCCGAGCACCAGGGAGCCACCCCACGUGCGCCUCUGACCCGGCUUAGGCCUCACCCGCUGCUGCCGUGUCCGAUCCACGAUGGGAGGGUCGGCCCGACCCAGAGCUCCGGGAAGCACGAAUUCCUUAUCUAUUUCCUCCCAGCCUCCGCUUUGUCUUAAAAUAGGCCUCGAAGCCUAAUAUGUUUUGCAGGUCCCAGUGCCUGGUGGACCGAAUGAACGGUACAGGGUGCGCUAGCAGAAGCUCCAAAGGGUGCCCGGUGUUAAGAGCAGAACUAUGCAGCACGUGGACAGACCGCCGUGUGAUGGUAAAUCUAACAGGCUCGGAGGAGGGGAGAACCCUGACUUGCAGUGUUUGCCCGUUUCCACGGGGCGCAUGUUCUCACCGCGGCCGAUUUCAAGCUCCCAACGUGACGGGACUGAGCGCAGUCAGGAGGAGGGCUCAGCAGCUCGUCACGUCGUUUCCGUGGAUUUCCGCGCUGCGGGUACAACAGGUGAGAGCACAGAUGACAGCAAUACGUAGAAAAGUCAUCAGAAAAUGAUGAGUUGGGACACCUCAGGGGCUCAGUGGCAGGACGUCUCCCUUGGGCUCAGGGCAUGAUCCUGGGGUCCCGGGAUCGAGUCCUACGUCAGGUACCCCGCAUGGAGCCUGCCUCUCCCUCUGCCUGUGUCUCUGCCUCUCUCUCUGUGUCUCUCAUGAGUAAAUAAGUAAAUAAUUAAAAAAAAAAAGAGAGAGAGAGAGAGAAAGUGAUGAGUUUGGGAUAUUUAUUACCUUUUUUUUUUUUUUUUUUAAAGAUUUUAUUCAUUGGGUAGCCCGGGUGGCUCAGCAGUUCAGUGCUGCCUUCAGCCCAGGGCCUGAUCCUGGA
rnacentral:lncRNA from 12 species